rnacentral:sRNA from 1 species
GAGCGGGACGCACUGAGGUCAUUGUUUGUGUAUGUCCUUGUCUCAGAUCCGCUGCACACUUUUGGGCGACAUGCAUUAGUGGUAAGCAAAAAA